ACCAAACCCUGUUUGCGGCAUACUCCUUCUACAGCCCUACCUCCUUAGGCAUGAUAUGUGCCACACAGUUACGUCAAAAUUAAAUAAUCAGCCACAGCGCUAAGAGAAAGUAAAACCCUGUGAGUAAAACGAGUGACAAACCUUUUAAGAAGCACAGGGCCUUACGCUGAAACUGUUUCUAUUUCGUUGGGGUAAGCCAGACCUGCAGUUUUUCAAAGACAUAUGCACUGCAACAGGGGGCAGGUCACAGAAAUUGAGAGAGCUCAGCUAAAACUCCUGUUCAGCCCCGGAUCCCUGAGGAUGGAGGUAUCAUUACUCCCCCACUUCCAGAUGAAAAACCGAGGUUCUACAGAGUAAAAAGACUUGUCCGAGCUCCUUCAUAAGAAUGUCAGGCCCUCAAGAUGAACAAGAGGGACCUGGAGACUGCCUUCUGAAAUGAAGUCUGAGCUUCUCUCCAAACAGCCUCCGGGGAACCUCAGCACAAGCAGUACGGAGCACAGUGCCUUCAAGUAUCAAGUCUAAACAGAUACUCAUUGAGCCCCAUGCCAGGCACUGGGCUGAGGGUGGCAGUGGCGGAGAUAAGGGACUCCCAGGAGGUUGAGCGAAGGGUUGCUGGGUGACCCGACAUCUACCCUCUGAGUCCCCUUGCCUAUCUCUUAAACACUGUGCCCUGCUUUCCUCAUCUGUAAAUGGGGACGACAGUCCUGGUCAGGCCCCCAGAGCUGCUGUCAGGAAGACGGCCAGAGGCGGCCAGGAGUCACCGACACCUGGAGAGCCUGAGAACACAAUGGAUGCUAGCUUAUCACUUUCUGGUCCCCAACACCGCCACUUCAUUUACUUCCAGGCACUUAAGACCCAGCUGACACACUCUGUAGCUGACUUUGCUGACUGCCGCGCUCUGACCGACUAGGAUGUAAGCCCCCUGAGGACAGGACUCUUGUUUUCGUUGCUGCUGGGUGCUGGCACUGAGGAUAGUAACUAGCAGGGAGAAGGCCUCAAGUAUUUCUUGAAUGGAUAAACGAGCACAUGAAUAAGUGAAUGAACAACUAAAUAAACAAAUACUAGCUGACCAGCUCAAGGAGCAUAUAGCACCUAGAAGAGACCAGGAACGUUAACAAAAUGGAAGACUCCAACUUGA